AUUUGUGAAAGGAGGAGGACGAGGAAGAGGGGGGAUAGGAUGAGAGGACUGUGCUGAAUACGAACGAGUUCUGUGUGUUUAUAUGUCUGGCACCUGCCUGUUUGCCCCGGACCUGUCAGUAAACACGGCAGGUGUUUGUUAGACAACAGUUACCGCCUCUGCCUUUGAAGUUUAAACCAUGACGUUCAUCUCUGACUCUGGACCAUCGCUCUCUCAUUAUUUUUCUUCUUCUGAUGUGCUUCAAAGUUACAAUCUCACCAGUGACCGACAUGAAGGAGCGCGCUGCGCGCCCCCGCAUCCCGUUCCAGCUCCCAUCCCUCCUAUUCAUAAAGAGACCUGCAGAGGAUAAACGAGCCGCAGGAUAUAACCAACUGUCCACAAAUGCAGGACACAUUUAUCACUCUGCUUUGAUUUUAAAAGACAUCCUUACGAAUUACUAGUUUAUAAGGAGGCGAAAUCACAAGGUGAUGCAGGUAUUCCAGCAAAGAUUCAGCUCAAAUUUA